AUCCCCCGACGCGCACGCGAGAGAAACGUCAUUUAUUUUCUUUUCAAGAAUCGCACGCUUGUUGCGGGUACCUAGUGUUGAAGAAUAAUUAAAAUUUUUAUCGAGAUUUUUAUAUACAAAUUCCGUUUGUAUGUAUAAAAUUUUAGUAGUUUAUUGUGUACUACAAAUAAAUCCGCCUGUAAGCUCGGCUUUGUUUACCGGCAAGUUGCGUGCUGCUGUGCUGUAGCCUCGACGGGAACUUUGUCAUCCCGAUGGACAACCGGAUCACGAUUUUCGAUUGAAAAUCAAAAAAUCGCGCCCCCGUCGCUGGAAAAUUACCGCACUGGAUCUUGGAUGGUGAUUGAAAUCUGGAUGAAGCACAUUUGCGGUGGAUUUGUUGCAAGCGACGACGAUCCAGAUCAUGAUUUCUUGGAGCGCAUUCACCGGAUCAUGUCUAUAUAUCCAUAGAGCGAGAAAAUUGAACGUGAACGGCAAGCGUUACACCGGGGGAUGGUCGGUGUUCGUACGGUUUGCUGGAGGACGACCAAUGGGGUUUGGCGAAACGUCGAUUCCAGGGGCCCGCAUGCAGCAAGGUCUCGAUGCAUGUUAGGUAGGUGUAGUUUUUUCGAGUUUAACGUGCCUGCACCCUCCAUGGUCGAUUCACCGCAACCGACGGAGUUUUCGGAACUGACUAGAUAGUAGAUUAUCAAAGAAGAAAUGCUGAUGGCAUCUCCGCUAGAAACGUCGGUCGAACCGAAAACUUGCUAUAGCAAAAGUUUGCUCUCAGCGCCCGAGUACGGCUGCGGGACGACGACCGUAUCAAGUUAUGGUUGGAAAUUU